UCCUCCUAUCAGGGAAACAGACACGAGACACACACAGAAAGCAUAAAUAACAAAAGGUGAAAACAACAGCGGCGCACAACAACAACAACAACAAAAACAACAACACACAUUACAGAAGCAUCACCACAGAAUUACAACAAAAGAAGCGACGUACAAGACACAGAAAAACUUUGAGAAAGACAUGCACCAAAGACAAAGAAGUUAGAUGAACGGCCAUCUAACGUCCGACAAAAAGGUUUGAAACACAAGAGCAGGAGGAGGGCCAUCUGUGUCACAAAUUAAACAUAUCUCAGGUAAAAUGUUUCAGUAACUGUACAAUGUAACUAUGCAGUACAUUUGAGCUUUAUUUGUACUGAAAACUGUACCUUAAAACUUUUUUUUGUGCAAUUGUUUAGUAUUACCAUUGAGUUGCAUGUGCUUGACGUUUUAUUGUUGUGCUUUUUGUUUAAUUAAGUUAGUGUUUGUAAUGAAAUGUGCUCUAUAAAUUAAGCUGCCUUGCCUUUAGUGCUGCAAGGAUUAAUGGAUAAAUCAAUAUAAACAAUGCUGGUGAUCAAUUAAUAAUUUAAGUAGAGCUAGAGUGAUAAAUCGGCCAAGUUGGUAACAAGAAACUCCAUUACAGAUGUAAAAAAAGGACAAAUCUAACAAUCAGAAUCGAGAUUGUUUCAAAAUAUAUAUUUUUACAUUUUUAUUUUUUAAAUAUCAACCAAUAUAUUAGAUCAACUCCAUCUGAAAAUAUUAAUAUCUCAAAGAUAAUCCACUAUGGGUCAGGGGACACAUGUAAAUGGCCAAUUUUUCCUGAUUUUAGCUUCUUAAACUCGAGUUUUUGGUUAUUGUCUUGGUUUUAUAUCAUUGCAAACUUUGCAAAAAUCUUCAAAAAUCAUCAGAGAAAACUAACAGCUGAAAUAUGUUUCUAUGAGCUUGUAAGUGACCCAUUAAUAAUAACGGUAAAAAAAAAAGGAUGUCUUGUCAUGAAAUAAAGCAUAACCAUCAAGGAAUUGUGUGUUAAUUUACAUUUAAAAAUUGCUUUGAGUUAUCAUUUUGUUAAAGAAGGAAAGUAAAAAUAACAUUUCUUUGACAUUCUGCAGCUCCCUGAUGUGUUAAUAUGGUUAAACAGCUCUAUCUGGUGGCUAAACAUGAACCAGGUAUCUAUAAAAGCAUUUAUAUCAUUCAAUAUUAGUUUUCAAGCAGAAUUUAACUUGAAUAAGUCUGUCAAAAGGUCAUGUUGCUGCACACUGUUGUAGUAACCAUGGUAACUGACCUGGUUGACCAGCCCGGUCGAUGCGGCAACGUUCUCCACCCCCUCCACGCCCGCCUGUGACACCUCGUUGGCUCCGGCGACCACUGUGUCUCCAACGAUGUUGGUCUGAUCCACGGUCCUGUUGGCCACUGAACCGCACAGUACGACUGUGGUAUAUCCCUCCUGCGGUCUUUCAGUCAACAGAGGGAGCCACCUGAGUGUCACUGUGAAUAUCUGUAUCUGAGCCUGUGGUGAUCUGUCUGUCACCAGCCUAAAGAACAGACUGUACCUGAAUGUGAAAGUGUCACUUAAAUCAUCAAACAAGAUGCGGGCAGAAGCAGAUGCAGUUCUGCAGGUGAUGCACAGGACAAGAAAGCCAUUUUGAAAAUAAUCCUGAUAGUAAAUGUCAAUCCAGAUCGAAAGCUUGCCUCAAUAAAUGAAGAUUGCAGGGAUUAGAGCGUGUGAAUGCUUUUUCCUUUUAUGAAAUAAUGUGCAAAUAUAUGGCUUUAGUUGGGUUUUUCCAGAGGAGGAUUUGUGCUUUAGCAGUCCUGAUGAGAUAAGCUCAGACAUGUCCCAGAUUGAAUGAAAAACCCCAUCAAUGGUGGCAGUUUUUAUGCUUUUUCAUCAAUGUGAAAUAUAUCUAAUAUAUAUAUGUACUGAGACAUUAACAUGCAUAGAGUAAACUUACUACACACCCACACAUGUACAUGUGCAGAAGAGAGAACAUGCUGAUGUGUUAAGAUCUCUUCCGUAAACUCAAAGAAUUAUUAAAAUGCAUAAAGAAAAUGCAUCAUUGCGGAUAGAUCUUUUUUUUAAUUAAAUAGCUGCUUAAGCACCAUCUCAUUAUCUGCAAAACUGCCUUAGGCAAUACUGUAAUAUCAAUGGAGAAAAUCUGCCACUAGGACCCUUUUCUUACGUAUUAUUGAUGAGUUAAGAGAAGAAAAAUCUGAUUUUGGGGAGAUUUUAAGAUAUUACUAAUUUAAAAAAUGUAAUAUAAUAUAACACUUGAAUAGAAUUUACAUAAAAUGAGUUUGGAGCUGUUUGUGUUCACUGACUGGUAUGAUUUCUUUAUUAAAUCACAGAGCACGUCCAGCUGUCUGUCCAGGUCUGGCCUGUGUAUGAGCAGCUGUGCGGACCUUGUUACUGUGUACCCACAUUCACAUGCUGACGUAUGCACUCUGCUGCAGGCAGAUACAGUGCUUUAUCGUCGCCAUCGACCCUCCUCACUUCAGCGAUCAC